ACAUACAUAACUGUAAUUAUGAGGCUGAGCCUUAUUUUGAAUAUGGAUUUCAUCCAUGACUGAAGUUGACACUCUUUUCAUAUGAGUUGUUUUAUUUUUCCCUUUAACAUAUUUUUGUUGGGCAUUUAUAUCUAUUCCUAACUAGUUUAUUUUAUUAUACUAUAAUAUAUAUGUGUGUGUGUAUACAUACACACACUCAUACAUAUCUGGAUGGCAGUCUAUUUUUUUAAAGUCAGGGUCUUAUUUUAUACCUGACUGGCCUUGACCUCAGAGGCCUGUACCACCAUGCUAGGUCUUGGAUGCCAGUCUUCUUGUGUCACAAUAAAUUUAAAAAUUAAAAGCAAAAGGAGGAUGUAGCUCAUUUUGCUUUUGCCUAGUAGCACAAAGCCACUUUUCUGUUUUAGAAUUCUUUUUUCCCUUUCUUCGUUGGUUGGUUUUACUUUUGUUCUUUUCUGAGACAGGUUUCUUUGGCUGUGUGGUUUCUCUGGAUUCCUGACUGUCCUGGGACUUGCUCUGUAGACCACAGAGGUCUGCCUGGUACUGCCUCCUCAGUGCUGAAAUUCUUAAGCUGUAGCCUGAAGUGCUGCUCUCCCAGAAACACGCAAGACUUCCUUCCCAACCUCCUCCAAUCACUGGUUGAAAUGGCCAUUUCUGGUGUGCUUCCUUCAGUAUCCUGAUUAGGAGAGUAGACCAGCAGUCAGUAUUCCCCACCUUUCCUUUGCCUUGAUUGCACGUAUCAGCAGACACUGUCCAUGCAAGAAACGUAUAAAGAUAAAUGUCAACCAAGGGAAAUGGAAAACAAGUUAUGGCGUGUUUACUCUAACUGGGAGGCUCAAGGAUUACACAUCACCUUCCUAAAUUCUAGAUAAAGAAAGGGACCGUACUUCGUGUUAGGUUAAGUCUCACAAACAGAUCGCUGAGGGCUCUGGGAUCCAGGGAUGCUCCCUGUGACUUCUGGAACAGCACAAAGCAAACAGAAUCUCCAUAGAGGGGGGUCUCUAAUAGUGGAAAGGUGUACUCACUUCAUUUAGGUUAAUACUUUUCUUUUUUUCUUUUUUCUUUUGGUUUUUUCGAGACAGGGUUUCUCUGUGGCUUUGGAAGCUGUCCUGGGACUAGCUCUUGUAGACCAGGCUGGUCUCGAAUACACAGAGAACAACCUGCCUCUGCCUCCCGAGUGCUAAGACUAAAGGCGUGCGCCACCAACGCCAGGCAGGUUAAUACUUUUCUUAUCAUAAAGAAAGAGGGGACAUCUCUAAAAGCCACAACAUGCAGCUUUAGUAGAUUCAAAACAUGACCUCAAUCUCCAGCCUCCAUCCAUGCCAUGGACCUCUUCCACAGAAAGUUUCCCACAAGACUGUUCCCAUCCCACAAACUACUUUAGAAGCCACAAGUUGCCCUCACCCAGGAGGAAGCACUCUCAGGACGGUGAUCCAAUCUACUUGGUCCCAGAGCGGGCACUUCCGGAAGUGGUGAGGCUUGUUUCCGAGGGGACGAUCUUCCGAGGGGACAGGAGACUGACGGUGAGUAACGCUCGGUGCGAACGACGGCUCUCAAUGCGCGGUCACAGUUUUGUGGGCGAUGCCGGCGUCUCCCGUCGCCAGUGUUUGUCGCGAGUCCUCCCAGGCCGCGGGUGGAGAGCGAGGCAGCCUCGGAAGGGCGGCUCGGUCCGGAAGACGGCUCGGCUGCGCGCUCCGGGGCGCCCCCUGCAGGCGGUGCCCGAGGCUGACGCAGGAGGAGCCGCGUGGGGGCGGCACAGCCACUGCGAUGCCCGGCGCUUGGAGGGGGGCGCGUCGGAGGGCAGCCCCUACCCUGCCCGGGCCAGCGGCCUGGGCCCCAGGGACCGAGGCAGAAAGCCCGAGGACAGGGACGCCGCCUUGGGAAGCCUGAGCGCUGGAAGCUGAGGGCAGGCCCUCGGGGCGCGAGAGGAGUCAGGCAGGGUCCAGAUGCUACCUGCGGGACAGUGCAUUUAUGAUGGCAUUUAUAAAGGCCCUACAUCCGCCCAUGGAAGACCUCACUCUCCAUGGGGAGCAGAACUGGGAUAGGUUUUAAAAACGCUAGUUAGUGCUGUGUGCCUCUAACCCCAAGCCCAAGCAAGAGUGUGAGUUCCAGGACCAUCAAGAAACCCAAAUAAUUACCACCACAACAACAAAAUAGUUGACACUUUGGAUCACCUUUCAGCGACCAAGAACUUUCCUUUUUGCUAAAUAAAUCCUCUUUGUUUUGCUCCAAUAAAUAAAUAAAAACUCC
rnacentral:lncRNA from 1 species